rnacentral:rRNA from 1 species
CUACGGGUGGCUCCAGUGAGGAAUAUUGGGCAAUGGGCGCAAGCCUGACCCAGCCAUGCCGCGUGAAGGAUGACUGCCCUAUGGGUUGUAAACUUCUUUUGUACGGGAAGAAUGGUUCCUACGUGUAGGGAUUUGACGGUACCGUAAGAAUAAGCAUCGGCUAACUCCGUGCCAGCAGCCGCUGUAAUACGGAGGAUGCAAGCGUUAUCCGGAUUCAUUGGGUUUAAAGGGUGCGCAGGCGGAAUAUUAAGUCAGUGGUGAAAUCCUGCAGCUUAACUGUAGAACUGCCAUUGAUACUGAUAUUCUUGAAUGUAGUUGAGGUAGGCGGAAUGUGUAAUGUAGCGGUGAAAUGCUUAGAUAUUACCCAGAACACCAAUUGCGAAGGUAGCUUACUAAACUAAUAUUGACGCUGAGGCACGAAAGCGUGGGGAGCGAACAGGAUUAGAUACCCGCGUAGUC